GCUGGGAGCAAGAUGAUGUCAUUGACCCCUUCAGGUACUCGGGGGAAAGUUGGAACCAUCAAGCACUAUUCAUGUUUGUCCUUUUCAGAAGAAGGCGGAGUUUGUUUUUUUUUCCUUUUUCCAGCAUGUGGUUGUGGGUCCAAGUGUUAUGUAACUACAUUCUGCUUCACUUACUUGGAGCUCCCACGACAGGAGCUCCAAAGUCACACUUAAGGCGCAAGGUCCGUUUUUACUGAGAAACUUUAAACGUAAAAAAAAAAUAAAUAAAAAUUUUUUUUUAGUUUGAUGUUGUAGGGAAGACGCGAUGGGCAGCGGGACGAGCCGCGGGACUAAAGUGGCACCUGCGGGGCUGAGCGAGGCGAACAAGGCGGCAAAAACCACCACGGAGGUCGGGUCAUCUAAACAACACGCUCCGGCCCGAGCCUUCCACCUCCUGAGGAUCGACGCCCGCCGCAGGGCUCCACCGGCGGACUGUCACAGCGCCGGCCACGACUCGGAGCACUCCGGGGACGACGAGGACGUGGACGUCGAGUUGGACGCCGUCCUCGCCGGCUAUGAGGAGGAGGAGGAGGAGGAGGUGGUGGUGGUGGAGACACGGAAGGGGACUUGUGUGAAGAAGAGCUCCAAAAGGUCGAGAACGUACGGACUUUGUCAUUUCAGUAGCCGGGAGGAAGAUGAGGGUCAGCAGGGGGGCGUCCUCCUCCUCCUCCUCCUCCUCUGGCCUGAAGGGGGCACAAGGGCCACAUGGCUCCCGGGGAACAAACAACAACAAGAGGAGCCAUGAUGCCUUCACUGCCACACACAACUGUUCUCCUCGUGCCUUCUUGACAACAGGACCAACGCUGGGUCUCCACCAUCCUCCACCAUCACAGAACAUUUCAGCCACGCCAGUCAUGCUGUACGAUGGCUCAGAAGAGGAACUGAUGGACACCAUCGAGAGAGACUUUAGCUGACAUUUCACUGUGUUUUUCGACAGGAUAGCUUUAACAUGUAGAGACGACACACUUCAUGUGUAAUGUGUAGUUUGAUGGAAAAAUUGCCCCGAAGGCGCAUUUUGCCCCUGGUGUUGCUAUGGAAGAGAAGAGUGUUGUGUUAUGUAGAAGUGCAACAUGAACAUGAGCACAUUUUGGUUAAUGCAGCCAACGUGCAAAGGAAGCCAUGUGUUUCUGGCUAUGUUUAUUUAAGGGUUCCUUCCUGACCACUUACGGAGCACUUCUCCACCCACUGAAGGAAAGAAUGUCUGCCACAAAAAGUCUUUAUUGGACCGAACUUCUCAGCUUUCAGCCAUUGAUGUCUGCUGCCAUCUAGUGGUGAGGUACCAGCAUGUAUGUGUAUGUCAACAAAAAAAGUACCUUUUGACAAUAGAGUUUUUUUCGGGCCACAUUGAAAAGAAUAAAACCGUUAUAUUAACGGGGAAAGAUAAAUAUUAGUAAAACGGAAAGGCUCUUACAGAGUUGAAAUGUCGCUGAGGAUUUAACUGGUUUUCAAGUGGCAAAAGUAUAUAUGCAUGUUCAAAAUAGUGAACGGAGCCGUUUGUCUUAUUUUUUGUGGAUUUAUUAGGCUGUGGUCUUUAUGCACACGCAGCAUCAGUAUUUGGGGAAAAAAGAAGAAAGUGGAAAAAUACACCGUCUGCAAAAUGUAUGUAAGUUUUACCUAGUCCCAAAGCACAUACCACAAAAGCCAUUUUUGCGCUUGCAUUGUCUGAAUAUGAACAACUUAUGCACUCUUUCUGCAACCUUCAAACACAUUGGAUGAAAAGCAAACACCGACGCUAUUGCUCGCAAAGCAAAACAUAUACCACAUGAAAUAAAUGUAGUUUAGACUACAAUAACGUUACCAAAUAUAUCCAUCACUACUUUGUAUAUGGCUGAUUUAGUGCAACCAAAAUGAAUCAGAAAUGCUCAUAACAGAUAUUCUAGAACCACGUGUCAUUGUUUACAUCCAGGGCAGCCACAUUUUAGGUAGGUGUGUAAAAUUUUAAUAAGUUAUUUCAGUCAUAUCAGACAGGUCUUGUUAAGACAAUUUCAGUGAUAUAAGUCAUCCUGUGAUAAAUAUUAAGAAAGUUGUGAAUUUUUAGUCUAUGGGGAUCAAGAUUGUAGGUGUGACCUUUUUCUUAAAAAUUUCACAACUUUCUUAAUAUUUAUCCCAUUUUAAAAAAGGUCGGUAUUGUUGCAAAGCUUGUUAAACAAAGAAACAGAAAAAUAGGUUUCACAGUUAUGGUGUAUUUUUAAUUGAUCAAAUUCAUUAAAUUAUUGUAGGAAGUGACGGAAAACAAGAUUGGUCCAACUUCACUUGUGACGUAAAUCAUAUCACAGCGACCAGUUCAUAUCACAGCGACCAGUAAAAUAAAGGUGACGGGUCUAAAAAAAUCAGUGUGCAAAUCUACUAAUUGAAAACACAUUUUGCUGACUUACAGAUACAUGCAUAAUUUAUACUUUAAAGGAAGUUUUUACUCACUAGAUUUUUUUGCAAGGGGAGUUUUGUCGAGGCUAAACAUGCUUUGUGGCGCAACUACUUGUCCAAAACAAAAAAUCUUAUGUUUUGAAUAAACAUGGAUAUGUGUUCUACGUCAUGAGUAUAGGUGUUUAGUAGUGACCAAAACAACACAUAUGCAGUUGAACUCUGAAAACAGCGGUUCUGUCGCUAUUCACGAUGGCGCAUUCAAACGUACAUCACUCCGAGUGACCACUGCGAAGGGCCAGCCAGCGGCAAAUACACAAAUACCGUACCUACAAAUUUGGAACCACCUCGGGGCGUCGGAAAUCCGACUCAGAACUCGGAAUUUCCGACAUCCCAGUACAAAUGGAACGCACCUUGAGUGUUGACAAAAAACAUUAUCAAACAAAGAAAUGUGAAAAUUGUAGGCUUCCUAAAAAAAAGGUAACAUCCAAGAUAAUCUUUUUAAAAAGUAUAGUACAUUUUAGAAGACAAUUUGUAACAGAACAUAAAAGGUGUUAAAUAUUAGUAAUAAUAUUUAUAGACAAAAGAGAGAAUUACAGGAAUAGAGUCGUAAUGAGAAAAAAGUUAUACCGUAAACUUGCAAAUGACAUAUUUAUAAUAUGUAGUCUUAACAAGAGCAAUCGGACAAAAACAUUGAAGAGAUGGACAAGCAGUAGAAAAUGGAUGCAUGGAUGUUCUAUUAUUAAACGAAUAUCUUACCAGAAAGUGAGAAAAAAGACUUCUGAUGAAAUAAUUCUGUUUUUCUCACACUCCCACAACAGGUGGUCUCUUAUUUAAUUUUGGGUCUAGCAGUAUUCAAAUGAUAUUUUACUAUUUUCUGUGUGGCCUUAACACUCCUCUGUGCCUAAGGUCCGCUGAACGACUGGUGACUUCCCACAACAAACGUGUGCUGUGUUUUUUAAAUAGAAAGAUAGAAUACACAUUUUUUUGUGCCAUUUAAUCAUAAUGACAAGAACAUGUUUUUUUUGUUUACAAUUGCACCACAAUAUGAGGGGAAAAUUCCUUUCACGUUUUUACAAUAUAUAUUUUUAAAACAUAACAUAAAAAUUGUAACCAACAUUUGACGUUAAACGUUAAAAUGAAUGUAUUUCAAAAAUGAAUAUAAAUGCUAAUAAAAAUGCUUUGUUGUUGAUAUUUAAAGGAGUUGAGUGUGAGUGUGACUGACUUCCU